GGCCUGGUGGUGUAUGGGUAUCACACCCGCUUUCAAUUUCAAGAAGGCCAGCGGAGGUUCCCUGUUCGAUUUAGGGUUGGGCCA